rnacentral:rRNA from 1 species
GAUGAACGCUGGCGGCGUGCCUAAUACAUGCAAGUCGAGCGGACCAAAGAGAGCUUGCUCUCUGAGGUUAGCGGCGGACGGGUGAGUAACACGUGGGUAACCUGCCUGUAAGACGGGGAUAACUUCGGGAAACCGAAGCUAAUACCGGAUGAUAAAGAGAAACGCCUGUUUCUCUUUUGAAAGUCGGCCUUGUGCUGACGCUUACAGAUGGGCCCGCGGCGCAUUAGCUAGUUGGUGAGGUAACGGCUCACCAAGGCGACGAUGCGUAGCCGACCUGAGAGGGUGAUCGGCCACACUGGGACUGAGACACGGCCCAGACUCCUACGGGAGGCAGCAGUAGGGAAUCUUCGGCAAUGGACGAAAGUCUGACCGAGCAACGCCGCGUGAGCGAUGAAGGCCUUCGGGUCGUAAAGCUCUGUUGUCAGAGAAGAACAAGUACCGGAGUAACUGCCGGUACCUUGACGGUACCUGACCAGAAAGCCACGGCUAACUACGUGCCAGCAGCCGCGGUAACAC